AGUGAACGCUGGCGGUAGGCCUAACACAUGCAAGUCGAACGGCAGCACAGUAAGAGCUUGCUCUUACGGGUGGCGAGUGGCGGACGGGUGAGGAAUACAUCGGAAUCUACUUUUUCGUGGGGGAUAACGUAGGGAAACUUACGCUAAUGCCGCAUACGACCUACGGGUGAAAGCAGGGGAUCUUCGGACCUUGCGCGAUUGAAUGAGCCGAUGUCGGAUUAGCUAGUUGGCGGGGUAAAGGCCCACCAAGGCGACGAUCCGUAGCUGGUCUGAGAGGAUGAUCAGCCACACUGGAACUGAGACACGGUCCAGACUCCUACGGGAGGCAGCAGUGGGGAAUAUUGGACAAUGGGCGCAAGCCUGAUCCAGCCAUACCGCGUGGGUGAAGAAGGCCUUCGGGUUGUAAAGCCCUUUUGUUGGGAAAGAAAAGCAGCAGGUUAAUACCCCGCUGUUCUGACGGUACCCAAAGAAGAAGCACCGGCUAACUUCGUG
rnacentral:rRNA from 1 species